UAUCAUAAAUAAAUAAAAAUUUAAAAAAAUUUAAAAAAAAAAAAGGAAGACACAUGCAGGGAGAACACCACGUGAGGACAGACACAUAGACCAGAGCCCUGCAGCUGAAGCCAAGGACGUCAAGGACACCGAGGACUGCCGGCCACCACCAGAAUCUGGGGAGAGGGAAGGGAGGAUGCCACCCAGAGUCUCAGAGGGAGCUGGCCCUGCCCACACCUUGAUUUGGAACUUCUACCCUCCAGGACUGUGAGAAAAUUCCAUUUCUGUGGUUUGAAGGCAUGAAGUUUGCAGCACUUAGCAGCCCUAGGAAAGGCAUAAUCUCAACAUGGCCCGAACAGAGCAGUUCUCCUCUUUCUGCUUUUCUCAGACUUGCUUCUCUUCUGGUCAUCCGUGUUGUAAUAAAGAAAACCAGCUGCAGAAUUGGAAAUCUGAGAGUCCACUUGGACUCCCUCCCCGUCCUCAUGCCAGCCCAUCAAGUGCCCAGUCAUGUCAACUUGACCUCUUUUUACUGCCCCAGUCCCUGCCCUGGCCUAGCCUGGUGCCUUCGCCAGGGAGGACUGUAGAGACUUCCUUCCUGUUGUGCACACUUGGCCAGUCUCCCUUCAUCUGACAUCAUCUGACGCCCCCACCCUCACCUCCCCUUCGAGUUCUGCUGGUAUGAUCUAAGCCCUCUCAUGUCAUACCCCUGCUCGAACCUUCCAUAGUACUGCCCCCUCUAAACUCUAAACUCACAGGCUUGGCUUUCAGCGACCUUUGUGAAUGAUUUGGUUCCGGAAUAACUGCCUCCAUUUAUCUUCUCACAUACUCCUUUCCCCAACCUUGAACUUUAUGCUGGUGCAAUAUUAAAUCACUUGAGGUUUUCAGACUAUGUCAUGCUCUUUGAUGCCUCCAUGCCCUUGCAGGGGCUGGUCCGUGUGCCAGAAACAUCACUCCAUCCUCUUAUUUCCUGGUAAAUUUCUGUUCAUACUUCAAAUCUCUGAUUAAAUGUUUUCUCACUUGUGAAACGUUCCAAACUUCCCCCACCUCCCCAGGCGAUUUUGGGCAGCUUAUGUUCCCUCAGACCUGUAAUGAUAAUUAUCUUCUUACAUUAUAACCGGGCUGUUUAUAUGCCUUUCUCUGCACCAUGCAAUUUUGAGGGCACAGGCUAUGUUUUUUGCUUUUAUUUCUGACGCCAGGUAUCCAUUUAUUCAUUUCAUCCUUCUUUCUUGUAUUCGUUCAACAAACAUGUACUGUGUUUAGUACCUACAGUGAGCUAGACAAGGCACUAGGGAUACCGUGACACUUGCUACUCCUGCCUCUUGGUAAUUACCAUCCACUAAGUUAACAGGGGACUAAGGGGGAAGCCCACAAUGCCACAAUACCAGAGACAUCGGUACAGGAGCUAUAAGAAUGGGUAGGUGGGUACUUUGCCCAGCCUACGGAAGGAGGUUCAAGGUGUGCGGCAUGAGCAGAGUGCAGUCAGGAAUGCUCCUAGGCCUGCACAGCUGGAAAACAGAAGGGAGAAAGGCAGAACAAAAGGAAAUAGAGGCUGGUACUGCCUGUGGACACCAGAUCCCAGGGGCCUUGUAAGUCCAUUAAAGAAAAUGGACUGUAUCCUGAGGGCCCAGUGAGUCACUGAAGUGUUCUAAACACUUUGUCCCUUUUUUCCCCCCUUUAAAAUUGCCUUUACCCAAUUGCUUUUAAUUAAAAAAGCAAAAACAUGAUUCUUUUAAUAAGCAUAAAGGCCAAAGAUACAGAAACAAGAAGUUAAAAUUCAUGCCAUCCCAUGCCCUUGCCUGGAGGUAGCACACUCUGUGAGGGCGCCCUUCUCCCACUGGAGUAAGUACCUGCACACACAGAACGGGCGUGUGUGUUAAGUCUUAUUUGCUUUUAUUCAAAUUUUUUAUGAAAAGGGAUCAUAGUAUACACACUUUCUAUAACUUGCUUUUGCACUUAAUAGAUUAACAUCUCUCCAGAUGAAUAUGUUGGUAAAUCUAACUCUUUGUGGUAACUACAUGACCUCCCACGGCAUGGAGGCACCAUGUUUAUUCCAUUAUUUUGUUGGUGGUGGAUGGCUAUACAUUGCCCUAUAUUUUGCCACAGCAAAGAGUGCUUCUGUCAACAUCCAUGUCCAUCUAUUCUUGGGUACUGGUAUUUUAAAUCUACUGGAAUAACUGCCCAAAACAGGGUUGCUGAGUCAAUGGUGGCAUUUUGAACUUUAAUAAGCAUUGCCAGGUUCUUUUUCCUGGAGGUUUCAGCAUUUCAUAUUCAUAUCAGCAAAGUGUAAAAGUGCUCAUCUUCCUACAUUCUCUCAAGCACAAGAUGUCAUUGGUGUUUUAAAUUUUUGCCAAUCUGACAAAUAAAUCAUCAGAUUUGACUUUCUCCGACCAAUCCUUUUCGACUCCACUUAAAUCUUUAUUUUCUUUCUGUGAAUUGCCUGUUCUUGUUUUUCCCUAUGCUCCUCCUGCCUUUUGUCAUUUUAUUACCAGUUUACAUGAGCUUUGAGUAAAUUAAGGAUAACAUCUUUUCGUACAUGCUACCCAUGUUUAGCUGAAUCUAUCCUUUGUCAUUUGACUUUCCUUAUCGUGUUUUUUUUUUCUUAAAAUCUGAAAAAAAAAAGCAAGCAUGUGUCCUUUCUCCCCCCUUCAGUUCUGUGGAUUUCCACAAUUAUUAAAAAUAUUCCUUCUCCUCCAAAGUUACACAAAUUUGGAAAUUUGGAAAGUGAAUUUUCCACUAAAUUUUCCUCAAAUAUGUUUUGCGUUUGUUUAUUUACAGUUACAUCUUUAAACCAAACCCAUCUGAGAUUUACUGCUGCCUAUGAGAGCAAUACGUAGGAGGUGGUGUCUACUUUGCUUUUUCCUCCCAGAUGGAGAGCUGAUUAGGUCAACACCAUUUCUUGAAUCAAUCCUAAUUUUCCCACUGAAUUGAAAUGUCAACAUACUAUGUCCAUUCCUGAAAUCUAGCCUCUUUCAUUAUUCCAUGGGCCUAUUCCAUUAUUCCAUUUAUUCAUGUGCCAAAAUAUAUUAUUUCAAUGACAAUUACUUUAUCUUAAAUUUUAAUAUUUGGUGAGGUAAAUGUUCUCAGUUUUCCUUUUCAGAAUUAUCUGUCAAAGUCCACAAGUGAACUAUUACAAUGAUACAGUAUAAUUAUGCUUUUUAAUUAAAUUCCUCUGUGUUUCAAAGAGGAUGUGGUUAAGAGAGUCUCAGCAGAUUCUGGAUGGUGGCACGAAGGAGCACCAAGUCACUCAUGAAGCCUCGGUCAUCACAGGCACCCUUGAGAGCAGCCCCACACGCCACCAGUUCUCGCCCGCCAGACUAUCUGAAAGUACCUCAGAACUCUGGACCUUGGUUGCUUUUUUUUUUCCCCACAAGUUCCAGGGAUCACUUCACUCAGAUCCUAGGGGCAGCCUGCCCCUGCCCUCCUCUGGCAACUCUGUCCCAGGCAAAGGGCUGCCUGCUUGGGGCUUUCCUUCCAUUCAGGUUCCUACCAGCUCUCGGCCCAAAGGCAUAGAGGAUCAAAUCCCUGCACCGCUAGCUGCCACUCCUCAGCCACUCAGGAGGCUUCCCUGGGCCAUACUCCUUUUCAGCACAAACACCCUCCUGCCUGCAGAUGUCUCCCUGCUUCCAGGCCACCCGCUGAUCUCUCCCUGGGGCACCCACCACCCCUGAGCUUUUCUGAGGUACAGUACUCUGGCGCCCUCCUCAUAGGCAUUGCGGAUGGUAGCAGGAGGGCAAUAAAGUCAGAAACAUGGUGUUAGGGAUUGAACUAUGUCCCCUGAAAACUCCUGCCUUUAAAAUCUAACCCCCAAGACCUCAGAAUGUCGGUCCUUAUUUGGAAAUAGGGUGAUUGCAGAUAUAAUUAGUUAAGUCAUUAGAGUGGGCCCUCAUCCAAUAUGACUGGAAGCCUCAUAAGAGGGGAAAUUUCAGACUCAGAGGCACAUGCACAGGGAGAAAACCUUGUGAAGAUGAAAGCAGAAGUUGGGUUGGUCCUGCUAAAAGCCAAGGAAUGCCAGAGAUUGCCAGCAAACCACCGAAAGCUAGGAGAGAGGCUUGGGCCAGAUUCUCCCUCACAGCCCUCAGGAGAAAUCAACGCUGGUGACACCUUGAUCUUGGAUUUCUAGCUUCCAGAACUGUGAGACAAUAAACUGCAUUCCUCAGGCCCCCUAUUCUGUGGGACUUUGUUACAGCAGCCCUAGCAAACUAAUACCCACAGCUGACACAGCUAAAGGCAGGCUGCCUCCCCUCUCUCUGAUCUUUGCUAGGGUCAGAUGACAAAAAGCUUCAGAAACUUAUCUUGGGCCUCAAGGACACUUGGCCCCAAGAGCCUUGCUCUCACCUGGGAUGGAAGCACCUCAGGCCACCCAUUACCACCCCCAGCUCAGACCCUUCACAGAGGCUGGCUGAGGGCUGUGACUUCACAGUGGGGAGUGGAGCUCAGGAGGGGAGUGUGGAACCUAAGCUUCAGGAGUUCAGCAGGAAAUGAGGAGUUAACAACAGUCCUGCAAACUACUGAAGCAUGGCAUGCUGAGGUUUCUGUGACUUAUCCUCUGGUGCCUUCCCACUCUCUAUCUGACUCUCUUGCACAGGAUCCUCACUUCCUGAACUGUAUGGAGAUGACCUGUGGACAUUUAUUAGGACUGUGUCCAAUCAUUCCUCCUGCCACCCCAGGGCCUAGGCCAGUGCCUGCUUCACAGCAACUUCUUCUCUUUAGAAAGCACAAGAUCAUCUUGAAACAACUGUCCCAGGGAAGACAUGUGAAGAAACAAAACAAAAUAAAGCCCCGAGGCCGAUGUGUCAUUGUAUUCCAGAAACUUCCACAGAGGGGAAUUGAGGAGGAUGGCUGCCAGAGCCUGGGAGAGACUGCAAGAGACACUGGGGACUUGGGAACUGGAAAUGGCAAGAAAAGUGCCCUGAGCUUGGCCUAACUUGGCUCUUAAAGAGAACCCCACCACUCAUUAACCAGCCCUAAAACCUGCUAAGUGAAAAAGAAAAAUAAAUGAGCUCAUUAAAGCCAGAAGGAAGGAAGACCUGGAGGCUUAACCAAGGAAAUUCCCAACACCCAGUCAGAAAAACAAGGGGGUGUGGGGCACAAUUGGGUUCAUAGCCAGGGGUAGGGGCCGGCCCCCACACAGGGGGGUUGAGUCCUCUGGUAGCACCACCGUGGAGGCCUGGAGACAGGAGCCUGUAGGGGAGAGCUGUGCUCAGAGUGCGGCUGGCCGGGAGGCUCGGGGUGGUUUACCAUCCAGGCGGUCCAGGUCUUUGGUCACACUGGCGGGGACGCCAGUUGGGAAAUACCAAGGGAAGUUCCAGGAGCAUGACAAAUUCAGCCCGGACUGUGGUAACUGCCCAUGACCAACACAGCCUCUGGUUUGGCUUAUGAAGGCUGCUCAUCACUUCAUCUUCUCCCCCUUGCAUCAACCACUGACUGAGGACUGGCCAUCUGUGUGCGGGCACCGCGCCUCACACACUUUUGGACCUGACUUGGGCUCGCCCCCACUGCCCUCUCUAGGUGCCUGGCUCCUGGCCCAGCUUCUCCCCCUGGCCGUGACCCCCCGCCCUUGGAGGGAGAUCCCUUCACAUCUCCUUGUUCUCCAACGGAUGGGGCUCUGAUCAUUCCUGGCAUCUGCUUCUGUCUUGUAAAAGAGAAUUCCCCUCCCACCAUGGCAGCCCUAGGUCUGCACAAACAAUGAAUAAUGCCUUGAAUAAUGUCUGCUGCAUGGGGCCUGGACAAGAACAAUGGGAACACAGAUGAGGGAGUACCUAACUCCACCUGGUGUUAGGGGAGUCAUGAGAAAAGCAAGCCCUCUUCUGCAGAGGAGAUGGACUUUCCCCACAUGGAGUAGGGUAGAGAGCCAAAGCAGAAGAGCAGUGGGGGCAAAGACACGGAGAUGUGAAAGUGGAUGCAGAUUAACAAGAAGCCCACGUGCUACCAAGAAAAAGAAGCGGUUGUGCUCAUUCUGUGCCCUUGUCCCCACCUACUCUAUCUGCCAAGGACCGGCUGACUCACAGGCAAAGCUAUCACUUGUCUAAACUUGGGAUUUCGCAAGGACCCCCUGAAAUAGGCAAGAUCCAUUCCUAGCUAUCUUCUUGCCAUCCUCUUCCAAGACAGAUAUCAUUCUUGAGAGGCAACAUAGCACGAUGGGAUGAGAAUGAGUCGUAGAGUCAUAGAGUCCUAAGAGUCCUAAGAUCUGGAUUGGAAUCCCAACUCUGCUAAUAACUAGCUAUAUGACACUGGAUUGGUUCCUUAAGUUCUCUGAGCCAUACUUUCCCCAUCUAUAAAAGGGGGGGGGGGUAAUAAAUACCUACUGAAUAGACAUGAGGAUUAGAAAUAACAUAUGCAGUACCCCCCCCACACCCCGCCGCCGGAUGCUUUGAGUUAUGCCCACGUUCAAAGAUAGCAGCCAGUGUUAUCCUGGAUUGUGGGAUGUAUCCUCCUGCCCUGCUCCCCUCAGUGCCUGGCUCCUAUUCAGUAAAGUGAAGAGGUGGCUUAGUCACUGGAAUGACAUCCGGCACUCUGUGACUUCCAUCUCUGCAGCAAGAACUCUAGGUUCCCCACUCUGCAUCUCCACGGAGUCAGUCCACCCUUUGCCCUUGGAAGCUUUAAAAACGAAUUGCCAUGCAUGAAGGAGCCCUUGGAAUCUAAAGUCACUUCCUUAAGUAGGAGGGGUUGGACACUGCGCCAAUUUCAAAGGCGCUCCCAGAGGUCUGCUCUGGAGGUCAGGGCUGCAGACUGUUCCAGAUCUUAAAGCGUGUUAGACACAGUUUUCCUUUGAGGCAGAGUGACUUACAAGAGGGGGGGCCUGCGAAAGAUUAAAAGAUCACACCUGUAGUUCCCUGCUUUCGUGAGACAAGUGCCAGCCUCUUUCUUCUUGGCCUGGAGACUCAGAAAACCAACUUGGCCUUCAUGGGCUGUUAAGCAGAGGUGGAAGGGAGGGGCAGGGAAGAGAUGGGGCGGCCCGGACUCCCCUAACCGGUCACCCAGGGUACUUUUCUUAGAGGUCUAGGUGGAUGCCAGGAGCUCGCUGCCCAGACCGGGAGACAGAACAGCUCACCCUGCGUUUUGAGUCGAGAACAAAGGCGCGCUCGAUUCCGGGGAGCCUGCUGCCCCGGGGCUCCUGGGACCAGCUGGCGGCCCUGGAGGCGGGACUCAGCCUAUGCGACCUCGACUCCGUGGUGAUGGCCUGCCCUGUGAGGCUCUCCACGCUCCGGGAGGACGCCACCCUCCAAGGGCUGCCCCAAGCCUGGUACUGCUCUUCAGGGGCAAAGACUGAAGUGGAAGCUCUGGGUCUGAACUGGCCUGAUUCUCCCUAUCACAGCAGUCCUCGGCCCUCUCUGCCCCACCACCAUCCCCAAGCCAUCUGCCAGGGUUACAUGGCAUUUCAGAAUCUCUGCCCGUAACGAACACAUCCUUGGGAAGAUGAAAAGUCUGGUGCUGUCCCACAUCUACCGGCUCCCAGAGGCCACUUCAGCCAGCCUCUGAGACUUCACUGCACACAAACCACGUCUACUUUUAAUGCUCCAAAGGGCAAGGCACUUCUUUUCUGCCGUAUAACAAGAUAUUGAUACUACUUGUUUCUGAACCUGUAUCUUCUCAUUGAAUGUCUACGUUCUCCGCCAAACAUGGACUUGCAAUCACUUCCCUCAGAUCAAGAAUCGCAUGCUGUACCUACUGAGCCAGCUAGGCAACCCAAGGGAGGAGAUAAUGUUACUGUUGCUCUAAUUUUAAUUUCCCUGAUUACUAACUAGACGAAAAUUGUUUUCUUUCUUUCUUUCAAUAUUUUAUCUAUUUAUUCAUGAAAGACACAGAGAGAGAAAGGCAGCAACAUAGGCAG